CCGAGACCGGCCUCGUCUGCCAGGCGCUCGGAGAGUGCUUGUGGAGUGCAGGGUUUCAAGCAUCGGUUCCCUCGCACACGCCUCCGACCUGCGCGGACAUCAGGAAACGUGAUACGUGUGCAGAAGCCCAGCGUCCAGCCAGCUCAGUGGGGCACGACGGAGCAGCCAGCCAGCAGCCUCUGAAGGAGCUACGAGCAAUUAAAGUAGCUGGCAGCAGCACACGCGCCGAGCCCCUAAGUGAGCCCCUUUGGGAGGCACUCUGCAGCCCACGGCGAGGUUUUCUGACAGCUCGUGCUGUUGUUCUGGAGGCCCGAGGUCCAAACUCCAUGUCACUGGGCUGAAGUCAAGGUGUCGGCAGGGCUGCGCUUCCUCCAGAGGUUCUGGGAGGAAUCCGCUCCCCGUCUCUCCCAGCUGCCAGUGCUGCUUGGCUUGCGGGCGCGUCGCCCCGACCUCGGUGCCGGCAUCUUCAGAUCUCUCCCCUCCCGUCCGCGUGUGUGGUCGGUCAGAUCUCCCUCUCUGCCUCUCUAAGGAUGCUUGUGACUGUAUUUAGGGCCCACCCAGGUAAUUCAGGAUAAUCUCCCAUCUCAAGGUCCGUAACUGUAUCACAUCUGCAAAGACCAACCCCACGAUUUUUAACCAUGUAAGGUCACAUCCACAGCUCCUAGGGAUUAGCACGUGGAUAUAUCCGGGGUGGGGGCAUUAUUCAGCAUACCCCAGGCAGCUUCUCAAACGUUCUGUUUCUGGGACUGAAACCCUUUUUCCUUCCUGUGCGGGUCUCUAGCUGAGGGUUAGAGGAAAGACCCGUCGUUAGUUAAAAAUUGU